AUGCUCAUCUCAGUAGCAUAUAUACUAAAAUUGGAAUAAUACUGAGAAGAUUAGCAUGGCCCCUGAAUAAGGAUGACACACAAAUUCAUGAAGCAUUUCAUAUUUAU